GAGAAAAGAAAAUAACAAUGAUUCCUAAAGUAACGGCGAGUGAAAUAGGAAAAGCCCAUAGCCGAAUUCUGUCGUCGCUACUGGCGAUUGGAAGUUGUGGCGUUGGGAACUGUCAACAAUAACUGGUGUAUCUGGUUACGCGACUCCUCUUGAUUGUGGUUUGUCCGUAGCAGGUGCAAGGCCUAUUGACGUAGUCACAGAUUACCAGUGAAGGCAGUCCUUAGAGUCGGGUUGUUUGGGAUUGCAGCCCGAAGCAGGUGGUAAACUCCACCCAAGGCUAAAUACGAUGGCGAGUCCGAUAGCAAACAAGUACCAUGAGGGACAGUUGAAAAGAACUUUGAAGAGAGAGUUCAAAGUACGUGAAACCGUUCAGAGGUAAACAGGUGGAAAGUCGAAUGUGAAAUUGAUAAUCAGGUCAAGGUAAACUGAUGCUUGCUUGUAAUACUUUAUAGAUUGCUAGCUCGCAGAAGGCUAACUCUGGCCGUACUUGUCAUUUCAGGUCGCUGCUGUAAUGGUGUACUACCGGCUGGGCUUGCUCCUAUAGCUUGCGCUAAACCGUUUGGUUGAUGCGUUUGCUCAUGAGUUUGUCACCCGUGUUUAGCCACCAUUAUUGAAUAGCCUAUGUGUUCUUGCUGAUUCGUUUGUACGUUGAAUGGGCAUGUUGAUUCGAAAUGAUUCAGAUGUCUACUUUGGGGUGCAUCUUGUCAGUGUUUUGACAGAACAAAGGUUACGCGGCGUUGGAUUGCGAAUUAUCUGCCUGACCCGUCUUGAAACACGGACCAAGGAGUCCAACUUGUACGCGAGCUAUUGGAUGUACGAAAAUGAAAUCCAUAAGCGUAGUGAAAGCAUGAGGUGAGAUCUGGCGUUGUUUUCAUUGAAAAGGGCGCUAGCGCAUCAUCGUCACGCCGCAAUUCGGCCAAGGCUGAUGCGGCGAAGACAGAGCGUACAUGUUGGGACCCGAAAGAUGGUGAACUAUGCGAGGCGAGGUCGA
rnacentral:rRNA from 1 species